UUUUUUUUUGUGGUCUCCACUCCUUGGAUGUUUUUCCUUUUUUGAUUUAUAUCCACUAAACCUUGCAGUGCUUCAGGCCCAAACACAAUGAAAUUUUCAGUUAUGUUACGGAUGAAUCUUGUGAGCUUUUCUUGAUUCUCUUUUCCUCUGCAGCUGCCCCAUUGUGGUGGGCACUACAGGACUGGAAGCAGGAAGUUACGUUUGAUGUGAAUAAUACUGAUGAUGGUUAGAACCAGAAAACGGCAUUCUUGUUACCACUAUAGAAAAUGAGAUUCUGUAGGAGUGAAUAUUCUGAAUUGGAAGAAAUGAUGACAAAUCAGUUGGCAACUGAAUCUUGACUAAAGCUUGUGAGGGAAACAGGGUUUGAAAUGAACAGGCAAUUGGGGAAGGGCAAGUCCAGUCAAAUAUGGAACAGCUGACUGAAAUCCCUGGUUAACUACUCCUGUAGCUGCUGUGCUGUGCUGGAGUCACCACUGGAUCCUCUUUGGUGUUUGUUUCCUUUAAACUGCAGGAUGUAGAUGGUGUUAGGUGAUGCUACUUUAGGCAAUUUUAGGAAAAUGUAAGGUCACCCUUCCUCAAUUCCCCAUUCCCCCCCACUCUAAGGAAAAACAGGAAAGGUAGUUGAUCUCAACUUGCUUCCUUUUAUAAGUUAUACUAGAUCUGGUUUUCUGAGAUAUUCCUUGUGUCUCUAGAUUGUAGUGCAACAUCAGGCAUUCUGAAAGGAAAUGACACUAAAAAUGCCAAGUGUCAACUCUAUUUUUGGGAAUUUUUUAUCAUAGCAAGUUAUCUUUAAGAGAACCAUCAGGAAAGAAAAUUACUUUGUUCACUAAAAUAUAACGUUGUCUUGGAAGUCUCCUAAAUAUAUUGUUCAGUUCACACACAAAUAUCUCAAAGCUCUUUAGAGCUGGUUGGAUCAAGAAUUACUUGAGCAUUGGAACAUUAAUGUGGAAUUAGAGGUCUUCCUCACUCCUGAUUUAAUCAGGAUAAACAGUAGAGCAUCAGCAUCCAGGAACAUGCUUAACCUGAACAAGGUUAGCCAGAACGCUAACCUGAAUCUGAUGUUGUUUCUACUGCUAGUGCAUUAUAAUUUAUCUGACAAUGUUUAAAUAAAGGUACUGGGUUUUUUUUCCUCUUUUGUGAGGAUACUAGGUUUGGGCUUACUUGGUAAUGUACUUGGCAGUACCUUAGCAGUUAGUAGUUGGGAAAUGAACAAUAAGUUUGGGGAAUUUUUCUUUAAAGCAGUAAUGUAGUUCUUGUUCUGAUGUCAUAGUAUGCUUCUCUUAUAGUUUCAUUAGAUGAUGAAUGAUUGUCCUUACCAAUUUAUAUAAGAAAUCAACUAAAUGGCUUUUAAUAUCCUGCUACUCAGAAUUUGAAUCUUCUUGAACAGACCAUAAUAGAAUAGCAAGGGUUCCCAACCUUGAAAGGACUGAAAUAAAUUGUGAUAUAAUUUUCAGAAAGCAGGUGUCUUGAAACAAGUGGAAGUAAGUGCUGGCAAUAAGAUUAAGCAUGUUUAGAAAGCGAUUGUAUGAUUGCUUCCAAACACUUCAGAAAAACCCAAAAAGGGUUCCCUUGUUACAGUAGGAAAGUGCAGAGGGACUCAGUGGAACAAAUGGUAACUAAUUCAGAGGUAAAUUUAGGAAUGCCAUUCUAUGCAUGCUUAAGGAACAGUUAAAAAUGUAAUUAAAUGUUUAUUAGGAAAAAUGGCAUACCAAUGAACAUUAAAAGCAAAUACAUAUAUUGAAUGUAGUAAGAAAACGCUGGAUGCUGCAGCUUUAUUAAAGCUGCCUUUGUGUUGCAUUCCUUCUUCCUGUAUGUUACUGUAACCCUUUAAUGAAAUACAAGCAUAAAUAUCUUUGGAAAAUACCACUGUCCUUUAGGUUGUUCAAAAAAAGUUAGUUAAUUGCUUGCUACAGCACCUGUUGGCUUGUUAGCAAAAAGCUCUUGUGUGUUCCUGUGUUGGCUUCAGCCAUCUGUCUUUAUACUGUCAGUUAUGAUUUUAAACCAGCUUUACUUUUUAUGCAUCUAAAGAAGUCAAACUCCUCUAUCAGGACUUGUAGUAGGCUGGGGAGUGCAGUAAUGCUUAGUGUGCAGUGUUGUGUUUUGUUACUACCACUGUAUCUAGGAGAGGCAUACUUGUCCAUGGUCUUGAGUUAAGCCUUUGUACUGGAAAAUUGGAUGAGGAAAAAAGGGUUUCAAACAAGGUCUGUGGUUCGUAUAUCAAAUUAUCUCUGUACAUACAAAAUACAUUAUCAGCAACAGGAUUUGAGAUAGUAGGGAUAAAACUAUUUAAACUGUCAACUCAUUAGUGUGUUGAUAUUUAUUGUACAGCAUUUCCAUUUUUAUGAAAUAGAUUUGGAUGGUGAGAAAUGAACACAAAAAUAAAAUCUAAAAACCCGAUUGCCUUGCCCCUCACACGUCUCUUCACUCUUUCAUUCCCAAAUUUACCUCCUCAAGUGGUAGAGUGGGGAUGGGAAAUGGGGGUUGUGGUCAGUUCAUUGCAAUUCUUCUCUGCCACUUCAUCCUCCACCCACUUGUUCCUGUCUCCAGUGUGGGGUCUCUUCACAGAAUACUGUCCUUCAAGACCUUCUCCAGCAUGGGUCCUCUCCGUGGGGUACAGUCCUUCAGGAGCAGGCUGCUCUAGUGUGGGUCCACUGUAUGCUGCAAGUUCCUGCCACAAAACCUCCUCUGGCAUGAGCUUUCCACAGACUGCAGCCUCCUUCAGCAUAUAUCCACCUCCUGCAGCCUGGGGACCUCCACAGGAGACACAGCCUGCCUCACCAUGGUCUGCUCAUUAGGCUGCAGGGGAAUCUCUGGCACCUGAAGCACCUUCUCCCCACCUUCUGCACUGACCUGAUCUCUGCAGGGCUGUUUCUUUCAGUUCCUUCUAACUCUCCCAGUGCUGUUGCAGUUUUUUACCCUUAAUCACCCACACAGAGGUGCCACCAGUGUUGCUGACGAAUUCAGCUUUGGCCAAUGGUGGGUCCAUCUCAGAGCCAGCUGGAAUUGGCUCUAUCUGACAUGGGGGCUGCCUCAGCGUCUUCUCCCAGAGUACACCCCUGCAGCUCCCUCUUGCCCCUGUUACCAAACCAUGGAUAUAUGAACGCAAUGCACUGUGUUGCUUGCCCAAACAUUAUUCUGAAAGAGGACUCUGCACAUGAAAAAACCUGACUGUUAUGCGUCAUCCUCAGAAACUGAACAAAUCCAGUAACUUUCCUUUUCCUAAUAUUUCUUGUUUAUAAAUCUCUGCAGCUUGGUGUUUACAGGUGUGUGCUCUUAGGGUUGUGCUGAUGCGUUUUCAGCUGUAAGCAAAUGCCAUCAGAUCUGUGAUAGUUGACACCUGUACUUUUUGUAUUGGAUGCAUGGCUGAAAACUUUGCUUGUCCUAUAUGUAGUUUUAUCAUUUUGUACAAAAAACUGAAUUCUGCAACUAUUAUUGCAAAGUAAGAAUUCACUUGAAAAUUAUGAUUUGCGAAAAAAGCUUUAGUACUUGAUUAUGACCGGUAAUGCUGACAAAGUCAGUAAAAUGCUGAUGUUAAAACGGAGAUAUGUUUGUCUAUGAGUUCUGAUAACUUAGAGCAUGUGUCUUUCCUUGAAUGUAAUCGGUGUUCCUUUUUAACCUUUAAAUGUAUUGUUUUCAUAUUUACUCAAGUUUUCCACUUAAUUCCAGAAUAGUCAUUGUCUUUCAUCUCCAGUUUUCUAAGUUCUCAAUUCAGGGUUCAUUGUAAACCAUAGUUUUCUUUCCCAGUAACUUAGUGUCUCUCUUAGUUACAUGGGUUCUGGUGAGCUGCCAGCUCCUCACCAUGUUCUGCAGGACUGUGGCGAUCACGCAGCACACUUCAUUGUACUAUUUGUUUACUGAUAAGGAGCAUGGAUAGAAAUUCCAGUGUCUCUAGGUGGCUAGACUGAAGUUCUGAAACAAAUCUGCAUGAGUUUGUUAGGCACUGUUGCUUGCCAUGAGCCUUUCUGUCUCAAAAGCACCAUGCAUGAAAGCAUGUGUACAGAGCACCCUGCUUGUACCUUCCAUUUCUGAUGUGGAGAGUGGAGAGGAAAAGACCACACAUGGUUUAUAUUCUUCAGUACGUUACUGAAAAAGCCUUGGAUACAUUAGAAACGGUAGAUAAGGACCUGAAAGAAAUACUGCCUGACAAAUUUGCAUUUUACAUUUUGUGCCAAAAAGGCCUUUGUUGCCAGCUGUGUGCCUAGCAAUGUAAGCUGGCUGUAACACACUGAGAUCAUGAUACUAGGUAUUUUCACUUAAACCCAUGAUGCUGAGGUUGACUAAACCUAGUUUAAAACUGAUUUGUGUAGCAGUCAUCAAUCCAGGAUCAGAACAAAAGCAAAUUUACCCACACACAGUUGCAGAAUAAAACCUUGACUUAAGGGUAGACAGCGUAAGGAAUUCUAGAAAAAGUUUCAAGAGGAUUUGAGAGAUUUGGGCAGUUUUCCUUUUCUCCUUCUCUCAUCUCAGUCUAGAAUUUGUCAUCUAUUGAACACGUAGUUGGCAGUAUUCUGUUGGUGAGCAUGCAGAUUAAACAUUUGAUUUACAUUAACACUUUUCCUAACUUGUACCCUGCCCCUUCCUUGCUCACCAUGUUUUCAAUUUGAGCUGAUUUAUAAGCAGUGGUUAAACCAUGACAUCAGCUUAAUAGAACUAAUCUGUUUCAGUGGUUCCAUGUUUAAUCUUCAGUGGCAGUGUUGGCUUUUUCCCAUCCUCAUCCUGCUUCUCAUGUUGCUUCAGUGUAAACAGCAGUGCAUUUGGUCAGUGAAGCAGACUGGGGACUGAAGGUGAUGCUUGGGAGAGCUGGAGAAAUACAUCCAUGUUUGAAUCAGUUUGCCUGUCUCAUUCUUUCUCUAUAUCCAGCUCCCAAACACAAGCAAAGACUGGCCCAGUCACUUACGCUGACACAGAGCACUGUGCUUUGUCAGGGUCAGGAAUAAGCAGUGGAGGAACAGAGGGCAAUUUGUGAUAGGCACUAUUGAAAAAUAUAAAAAAUAGUCUUUUUCAGCAAGCAUGUAUCUUGAAUAUUAAGAGGUUUGUUCACUGUUGACUGUGGUAAAUUGAUUUGCUUAAUAAAAGGAGGAAUACCGUCAUUGGAGUUCUACUACCUGAUACACCAGAAUUGGACUUCUUAAUUAUCCUUCAUGAUGAUGGUAUAAAAAUUUUACAAGGGUUUUAACCAAAACUACAGACUUUCUAUCAAAGGAAGCUACACAAAUAUGUAUUGAAAUGCAGACUUGCAAAACAGCAAUUAUAAUGAAAGCAGGCUUAACAUCGUAGCCUUCAGAUAAAAUACCUUCUUGUAUGCAAGUGAUGAAAACUACCAGCUAAAUUUUCAGAGUGAAGACCUAAUUUAGUAAAACUGGUGGACUUUUAUUAGAGAAUUGCUUUCUAGUGGGUUGGCCAGUUAAAUCUCUAGCAUGCGUUGGAAGAACGUAAUGAAAAAGUUACUUAAAUCUUGUAUGAUGCACUUAGAGUAAGGAAUUAAGUUCUGCAGAAAACAAAAUGUUUGAGUAGUUUCUUUCUUCUACAUUUUAUUAUAAAAGUGAAGCAGGAACAGAAUUAAGCCCAUUCAGGUUUAGUUAAAUAUGCAAGUGAUGAAUUAUAUACUAGUGUUAAAUUCCCUGAGUUAAACGGUGCUUCUGAUUUCCUUUAAGGCCCUACGAUUGUGCCUUCUCUCAAAUGGCAGCUGUAUGUCUAGAAUCAAUCUCUAGACUCGUGACUAUUCUACUGUUAGCUUUGCAUGGUGACUUCCACCUCUUAAGUGAUUAUUUUAACCUAACUUAGUUUCAAUUAGCUUUUUUUGGGAGUUAAUGACUGUGAUAAUUCUCUUAAAGCAAGAUGUUAAUGCAUAGAGAUUUUCCUUGGAUGAUUAACAAGCCUCAGUGCUAAUAAGACGUUCUGUUUUCUGCUGCUAGGAAAAGUGUCUACUUUAAAAUGUUUGUAUAGAUCUUUUCCAUUUCAGUCUGUUCUACUCAUUGUUAAACCCCAAGUUUUGACCUUGACUUUGUCCUUUUUAUUCUCUUGAGAAAAUUAUUCAUUGUUUAAGCCUUUGCAUUACAUCGAGUGAUGUCUUUCUUCAACCUGGAGUCUAAUGUUAUUGUCUUAGAAUUAUUCCCCAGUGUGUCUUGCAGAGGAGUGGAGGGAGAUGACUGUGUUUGCUUAUUCUUAUGUCUGUUGUGCUUGUUUUCCCUUGCUUAGUAUAAAGAUACUCACAAUGUUAAUACAGGUCUGUUCUUCCUCUAUAGAACUUGCCUCAUUUAUUAUGAAAUUGAAAUAAUAAUGAAAAUAAAAUUUCUUACAUUUCAUUUCCUCAUAUUAUGUAGUUGGAAGUCAGUCAUUUCACACUGCUGGUGUGUAUGUAAUAGUGUCACUAAUACUCCACACUAAUAUGUGUUUACUUUAAUCAAUUCUGUAACAAAUUUUCAAACGGAAUAGUUUCCCUUUAGAGAAAAGGAAUUAAUGUUCUGUAAGAUUAUGGCAAGUACUUUAUAGGAAAGAAACAAAAAGGUGCUUGACCUUGGUUGAAAGAACACACCAUGAGGGAAUAACAUGUAAAGGUUACUUCAGUG